rnacentral:lncRNA from 1 species
GUGACCAGUAUCCACGGUAUUUUUGAGCAAAUCUCUGAAAAGAUCCUCAUGACUGAUCGGUUAAGAAGAGAAGCAGUUGACUAUGAGAAGAAGCUGGGUUCCAUCACAAGCCGGGGCAUGAGUCUGGAAAAAUUACAAGCCGACCUCGAUGCCAUCAGGCAAGAGAACCAAAGUCUUGAGAAACAACUGAAUUAAUGUGGUUUAUACUUCACUAUGAGGUUUGUAGAGUAUUCGAGGUUUAACAAAGAGCCAUCUGCUAGGGUGCUUUCAGGUUUUGAGUGCAUUUGUUUCAUAGAGAAUGAGUAAAAAGAUUUCUGAAUGCUAAAGAAAGACCAAAAGGUUAUUCAGCCAAGACAUAUCUGAUACUAUAUGUUUGUAAGAGAAUACAAACUAAAAGAGACAUCAUCAGUUUCUAAUAACUAUUCCAUUGGGAUCAUCUUCCCAAACAUCGUUCUUUAUGUAUUAUCACAACAAAAUAAAUAUGGCAAAAAGGUUUGCUACAUUGAAAGCUCAUCUUCUUCUUCUUCCCUCUUGUAAUUGUCAAACCUAAAUUCCUCUGGGGAUGAUGUUUCCUAUUUACACCCAAAAAUCCAGACUUUAACACGCUUGAUGUGUAUCUACAGACAUUAUAUGAAACAUUGUAGCUUCUUGUGCGAGCAUUGUGUUUCAAUGACUAAGAAUCGUUUUAAUGGAUUUAUUUUAAUUAAUAUUUAUCAUUUGCAAUGGCUAGUUAUAAGUUGGUGUUUUUUUAUGUGGAUAAGUUGAGGACCAGAUUCUCAACAGUGCAAGUGAUCUAGUUCUUCUUUUUUGAGUCUAAAUCACAUCACUGCGCUAUGUGCCAGAGCCUCAAAUCUUUAAAUUUUGUUUCUUUUGGUGAAGAAAACACAUUAUUAACAAGAAAAUUUGUGUUUUUAAUCGAGAUCUUUGUGUACAACUUUCACCUGAACCCCUGUAAAUGCCUUGAUACUAAUUUACAAACUCAACACACUCUAAACGUUAGUUAGAGAGCUUUUAGGAUCGUCGCUUGGGUUGCAAGGCAACAGUUGUUCAACAAUCUCCGUGAAAUGGUAAGGUUAUUUUUUACCGUUCUUUCUUCUUUUCUUAUUUGAAAAAAGGAAAUACAGUUCACUUCACAAGUGACAUGCAUGCGUGAUAGAUUAUUACCGAGUCCCGAAAAAAUACGACCGUUACACGGUAAGAAAAUUUAUUACUUUUGUGAUCAAUUUCCAUUUCCCUUUUGCAGCAUUAAUUGGAAAAGAAAAUUAUACAACGGAUAUAUCUCUUACUUCUUCUAUAAAUACUCACUCUUUUACUUCACUCGACUCAUCCAAAUUUCCCACUCUUUAUUUUCUUUAUAAAAAUUCAUGUUUCUUCUCGAGUAAAGCUUUUUUUUCUCUGAAAAAGGAAUUUUUUGUUACGGGAAAACUUAUAUGUUGCAUCACUUUGUUUCAUGGCAUUUACUGUGUUCUUCUGGAGGAUUUUCUGGCUGUGACAGAGGUUAUUACCAGAGUGGAAACGAGGGAAGCGCAAGCCAGAUGACGAAGCCAUUUCGAUCAUGGAGAGGUUUACGAGCACUUUCUCGAGCCGGAAUGUUUUACUGAGACGAACUCUUUCUCUCCGGGCCUCACCCAUAAUAUUAAUAUGAGGAAAGCAUCUCGUUUCGUGUCAAAAGAUUGACAUCGGAUCCGGACAGUUUUUCUUUUUAAACUAAGAAAAUUAUUUUUUUACUUUUUAUUUUUGGUUUUAAAUUUUGAUAUUAUAUAAUAUAUAUUGCACAAUUCUUUCUAUAAAAUUUUCUGUGGUCAGUUAACGGGGUAUAUGUUUAAUAUGUUAUUCGUAUUGUAAAUUUAAAACUUAUACUAGUUUUCAUUUUGGAGAAAGAUGUGAGUGAUAAAUUUUAAUAUGUUAAAAAUAGACCAAAUUAUGGCAUCCAGUCUAUAGAAUUUUUAUAGUCCGUAAGUUUUGGUGUACAUAUUUAACAUAUUUUUUUUAUUGUAAAUUUAACACUUACAUUAAUUUUCAUUUUGGGAAAAAGUUUAAGAUAAUGAAUUGCAAUACGUAGAAGCAAACCAAAAUAUGGUCCGUUAGCCGGUGUAUAUGUUUAAUAUGUUAUUCAUAUUGUAAAUUUAAGACUUAUACUAGUUUUCAUUUUGGAGAAAGGUGUAGGUGAUAAAUUUCAAUAUGUUAAAAACAAACCAAACUAUUGCAUUCAGUCUAUAGAAUUUCUAUAGUCCGUAAGUUUUGGUGUACAUGUUUAACAUGUUUUUUUAUUGUAAAUUUAACACUUACACUAAUUUUCAUUUUGGAAAAAAGUUUAAGCUAAUGAAUUGCAAUAUGUAGAAGCAAACCAAACUAUUGCAUCAUGUCCAUAGAAUAUUUUAUGGUCUGUUAAAAGUGUAAUAUAUAUUUUUAGUAUUGUAAAUUUAACACUUAAAACUAAUUUUCAAAGUUUUCCUUGAGUAUGCAAAGUGUUUUGAUUUAUUUUUAAAGUUUUCAACAAUAUGUUUAAUAUGUUUUUUUCCCUGUUGUAAAUUUGACGAGGGAAGGGCAAAAGUCAUCGCGGAGGUGAUCAAAAUUUAUUGAUAAGAAGGAAUCCGAGAUCGAGGAGAUACACUGAAACAGAAAGAGGUAUCAAGAAACUCAAAAGUAAGUUUAAUAUGUUUAUAAAUUGUUUUGAUUUUAAUCACUUGCUUCAUAGCACUUAUUGUUUUGUCUUCUUUUGGAGGAUUUUCUGGCCGUACCAGAGUGGGGACGAGAACCAAGUUAGAUACUGAAACAAAAGAGUAGCAAGAAACUCAAAAGUAAGCCAAAGUGGAGCUGUGUAGAGUUCACAUUCACAGCAUAACGAGAUUUCCUUAAAAAGAGAGAGUUCAAGAAUGCAUUUAUUACAAUGACUAUUAACAUACUUAUGGGGGGUAGAUAAAAUUUUCAUAACAAUUUGUAAUAGCUAAGUUUAUAUUUCCCGAAAUCAGAGUUAAUAAUAUUUCAGACUGAAACUGAGAACAGAAUCAUCAGAAGAAUUGAAAAAAAAAAACGAGAAAGGGAAACUCCAAGAAUCCAUUUUAUUGGCAUCAUAAAAAAACAAGAAGAUGUUGCGGAUACAUGUUGAAGGGAAAGCUUUACGAUGAAUGAUUCUCAUCGGAUUUGUAAAUUUUGUGAUCAUCAUCAGCCUCACUACUCUGAUGUACAUUAAGGAUAAGAGAGUGUCAAUGUUUGACAAAUGACAAAGUGCCAAUAAAAAAGUAAAAUAAACAUUAGACUAACAUUAGACUCAACAAAUCUUUUAAUUAUAAAUAAUACUGGACCUCAUGACAAUGCAACUACAAAGAGCCAAAUCUUAAGUUUCACAAACAAUAUAAGACCGUUUUAAAAAGAUAGAAACUAACAAAACACACAUAUAUAACGCUCUCUGUCUCGAGUUUUAAAAUGCAUGAGAACAACACAAAGAACAAACAUCCCAGAGCUCCACAUGAUCUCUCUUUGCCUGCAACACUCUUUUUGAAACCGAUGUAAAUAACUCCACCUAUGUUAGCUAGUGACCAGUAUCCACGGUAGGUUUGAGCAAAUCUCUGAAAAGAUCCUCAUGACUGAUCGGUUAAGAAGAGAAGCAGUUGACUAUGAGAAGAAGCUGUGGAGAAAUUACAAGCCGACCUCGAUGCCAUCAGGCAAGAGAACCAAAGUCUUGAGAAACAACUGAAUUAAUGUGGUUUAUAC